GGUGAGUCUAGAGUUGUCUGGAAUAACAAUAUUGUGAAAGAAUUUCAAUCUAAAAUGGAACCAGAGGCCAUAGCACGGAAAAUCUCACACAUGUACGCUCAGGAGGACAAAACUUAGGAUUGAGAGAUGAACUUCCUAUGAACCUCUGAUGUACAGAAACCUGAAAAUAUUGGAAUUUCUUAAAUGGAAGGAAGUUGCUCAGUUGUUGCUUCCUAUCAACUUCAGGAAAUGUUGCCCAUGGUUUCCAGAGGGACCAACAAAAAACGACCCAGGUUGUGUGGGUCUCACCAAAUGACGUGCAUUAAGCUUUGCUUGUGCGCCUGGUCCGUUUUGUCUCUUCAGGGAAUAGUCCAAAGCUGGUAUCCCUUUGUUUUUUAUUUUAACAGAUUCUUACUGAACUCUCCCAUUUUUACAUUCCUGCCCAUAAAUAUAGCAAUCCCAAACCCUUAUCAAACCUGCCUGAAGCUUGCAUUUCCUGAAGCUUGCAUUUCCUGCAUUGCAAUUCCUCUGCAAUCACUCCUCAAUAAGCUCAUCUUUUUCACAAUUUUGAGUUUGUUUUAUUCUACCUUUUUAUCUGGGUCAACAAAACCAUGUCCUGUAAAUAAACUAUCAAAUGUGUAUUGUUAAGACACUGCAAGAACAAAAUCUUAGCAUUUCAAAAAAUUUCCUGUAAUAUUUGUGAAUGUUUUCCUAAAGAGAUACCAUCCAAAGAUAUUGACAAGAUAUGUGCCACCUUAUAAUUAUCUGGACAUGCAGAGAGAUUUUUCUGUGUUAAAAGCAUCAAACUUCCCUGAUAGCUUUCAAUAUUCCUCAACACUCUCCUUUUGUUUACCUUUGUAUAUAAACUAGCCACCAAAGCAGUUGUUAAAUUCAUGUACACUUGAAGUAACUUAGUGAAAUGAUUUAAUGUCUUUUUGUGUCAUAGAUAGAGGACAAUUUCCACCUGAGUCCAAAAUCAAUUGUUUCUUGGUAACUCUUCCAAUAUCAUCACAGAGUAAACUAUAGGAAUCAGAUGGUGAUCCAGGGUCCUUUGUUUUGUGUAUAUAAUAUUGACCAGGUCUCUAGACUUCUCUGGGUGUAGUUGCCACCUCUUGCAUCCUGGUAUGCUUUACUCGCCCACUUCCAGAAGUGGCCACUUGGCACUGGGCUGGCAGAAGCCGAAGUGCGGGAAAUUUUGGCUCCAUGGAAAGGUGAUUUGUGGCCUGGAUCAACUCCCCAGUCUUGCGACACGGUGGUUGUGUCUGUGUCCGUUUCUUACCAACCUGAUGUGCUCUGUCAGCGGCUCUGAGGAGUAAGAAACCACUGGCCUUGGCACCUGGGUGAUGAAAGGUGGAGGUGAUUUUUGUAGCAGAAAGUUGUACAUCCGUAAAGCCACCAUAAAUCACGUACUAUUCAUUAUCGCAUUCCCACACAGUAACGCAUAUGUUUUCUAUAAUCAUUUCAUACUUCUUGCUUUGAAUUUACUUCCACUAAGUUCAUCCAACCAAUUUUCAAAGCAACACACACCUAAUAAAUAUCAGUGGAGAAGCAAUAAGCUCAGAUAAUCAAAUCAUCUUUAAAUUUUUAUUCAUUUUUAUUUAUAUGUUUUCUUUUGAUAUUAAAAGUAGGAUGAAGUCAAAUUUGCAUUUCAGAAUUAUGGUAGCCUGAAUUGCAUAGAAAAGGGAAAUGAUUCUGGAAGCCUGGGCAACUUUGUGAUAGAAUCAGUUCCUCUUUAUUCUGAACAAGAACGUUUACCUGCUUGAAAAAGUUUCCAGAAUAUAACCAUUUCAGUAGGAAAAAAAAAAAAAGGGUAGUAAUAAGGUUAUUGUAAGAACAUAAGGAAAAUUUAACAGUAUAUAAAGAGUUAUAAUCUGGGUGGCAAUUUUAACAAUCCUAAAGACUGAAGGCAUCAACCUAUGUGCACAUUUUCUAUAUGUUUACAUUUAAUGCUAAAAACUGCAGUGUAAAUUUUUGAGGCCAAAUAUGCUCGAAUUUGCAUGUGUCCAGUUCCAGAAUAAAGAUCCGCAUAUUGACCUUAAAGAAACCAUCCACUGACAUGUACCCUAUUUUACAGAAUUUCGUACGGGCAAAAUUCUUUGCAGGGGAAGCCACUAGCAUAAAUCCCUGAAGGUGAAAUCAUCUUUAAUGGCAUUCAUAUUAGAGUCUCUCUAUUAGGUAACAGAGCAGAGUCUGUUUUCGCGACAAAAUGGAAUAGGAGCCAUAAAAAUACCCCAUUUUAUCCACAUUAGAACUCCAUGGGUCAAGUUUUCUCAUGGAGACUGAAAGUCCUAUUGCAAAAGAGAAUGACCUUUCUACUUUCUUUCAUUACAUCUUCAGUGGCAUAGUCUCUCUCAACAUGCAACUAAGCGAGAUGACGGGAUGAUGCUGGACCCCAGUUUCAUUUCCCCAGAUUUUUCUGAUGCUGUCUCCGUCUGACUUUACACAUGGCUGGCAACCGUUUAAAAAUACCGAGAAUGUUUUGUCUUCACACUUGUUUACUUCAUUGAUAAAAAAAUCACAUGGCUAUGAAUAUACAUUUUCCCUAUUGGAUUUAAACAUGCAUCUAGCAUCAUUUUUUUUUUUUCAUAGUAAACAGACGACUGGUAGAAGCGUUCUCUGUGCGGUGUUUUGCUUGGGCUUCCUUAAGGGUUGGAGUUUCUUCUUUUAGUAAAAUUUGGUUUUGAAAAUCAAAAACGAUUUCUCUCCCUAUUAUAAUUGGAGUUAAAAUAGUACCGGGUUUGGGCACCAGAGAUAUUAAAAGUAAAUAGCUCAUUCCCAAGCAGAUGGUUCAAAUUAAGAAGGACACUUUUACAAAAUGCAGGGAACAGAUAAUUGCUGUUUUUAUGUGUCAUGUUUGGUAACUUUUCCAAGUGUCUUUGGGAACUGAUAUAUUGCAAUAGAGAAAAUACGCUGAGUCCUAAAAUACUGAUCUUUGCUAUUUAGUAGAUUUUUUUUUCUUUUCUCAUUUAUCUUAAACUUUUGGCAUUAUAGGUAGAAUGAAGUGAAAUUUGCAUCUGAAAAUAAUCAUAUACCUUUAGUUUUGUGGAGUUGAUACUAAUGAUGCUGAGAAUAAAUAUAUGAUAAGCAAAAAAAAUUAAUGUCAUCAGUUCAUUGUGAUUUGUACAGGAAUAUACUGACAUAAGUGGUGAAAAAAAUACAUAGCUAAUGACAGUUAACACUAAUAUCAUGUAUAUCAACAAAAACCAAAUGCUGAUAAAUCCUAAGCUUAAACCCAAUCAAAGCGGUAGAUUUUAUAGGUGCAGUUCAAAAGCUAAUCAGCUACUAGGUAAUGUUAUAUAAUCAAUAAUGAACAAAGAAAAUUAAGACUCUUUACUACAUAAGAAAUACAUCAACUUUUUUGAAGGAGCAGAAAGCCAAAAGGAAUAAAAAUUGUUUAUAACUCAAAAAACAGGAAGAUACUUCAGAAUAUUUUUGGUAUUUUAGUAGAGGCUGUGGGAAAACUAUACUGAAAAUAUUUACAGUACUUCCAAAUCUGGCACAUGAGUAGAAAUCUGUGGCUAAAUACUCACAAGAUAAAUAUAAGCAAAUCAUAAAAGGCACGUUUUAGUUUUGGAAAGGCAAUACGAAAAUGGAACAAAGAUACUCUGCAAAUGCACAACCUAUUCAAAAAAUAAUUUUGGCCUUGCAGAAAAGAUGGAAAUUUUUUUCCUUAUUUCAUCUAAUCCAGAUGCUUUGCCUAAAAGUA
rnacentral:lncRNA from 1 species